CUCUGCUUUAUGCUGAAAGAAUUUGAGCAUCCUUCAAAUAUGAGAUUAAAGGAUGAAAAACACAAACUAAAGCUGGAUGGUAAGAGGCAUUCCUGGGAAGUUUUGUUCUUUCUACCCGAAGAAGCUCCACAACCUGCAGUAAGAUGGUGUCCACAGAACUGGGUGGAGUCAUUAAGAUUUUUCUACCCCUCUCCCACUGCCACCCACAUGCUAGCGCUAGCUCCUUUGUGGACCUAAGGUGUGGGGCACAAGCAUUUCUGCAGAGCCUGGGAUCGUGAAUUGAGAAAUUGAGGGGAGAGCUAAGCUUUGGGCUUGAAAAUGUUGAAAACCGCUGUCUAGAAGCCACCUACAACGUUCAACCACCAGCUUGCCACUAGCAAUAGUAGAGAAAGCGGAAAGGAGGCAGACGUGGUUGCUGCCCGCUUGGAAAUUAUGGUACUAACAAGACUUCAAGUGAG
rnacentral:lncRNA from 1 species